rnacentral:rRNA from 1 species
AAUCAACGCUGGCGGCGUGCCUAACACAUGCAAGUCGAACGCGAAAAGGGCUUCGGCUCUGAGUAGAGUGGCGUCCGGGUGAGUAACGCGUGGGUAAUCUGCCCUCGGGUGGGGAAUAACUAGUCGAAAGAUUAGCUAAUACCGCAUAAUGCAGCGGCUCGACAUCGAGACAGUUGUUAAAGCAGAAAUGCGCCUGAGGAGGAGCCUGCGUCUGAUUAGCUAGUUGGUGAGGUAAUGGCUCACCAAGGCUGCGAUCAGUAGCUGGUCUGAGAGGACGGCCAGCCACAAUGGCACUGAAACACGGGCCAUACUCCUACGGGAGGCAGCAGUGGGGAAUAUUGGACAAUGGGGGAAACCCUGAUCCAGCAACGCCGCGUGGAGGAUGAAGGUCUUCGGAUUGUAAACUCCUGUUAGGGGGGACGAAGGGAUGCCGGCGAACAGUCGGCAAACUUGACGGUACCCCCAGAGGAAGCCCCGGCUAA